UUUAAUUUUCAUUACUAAUUUAGAAAGUGACGGAGAGAAUUGUCCAAUUAGAGACUAUUACAGACUGGAGGCGUGGCCCUGGAGUUAUCUCGUGUGUGCGCAUUUUCGAUGGCGGAGACAUUCGGCAGCUAUCCCCCUGCUAACAACUGGGUCUUCUAAGACAAGGAAGCACAAGCAUAGUGAAAAUACCAUAAAAGUAAAAUAGAGGGAAUCUGAUAGACCUACUAUUCGAGAAGUGGCUGGUGUCAACUCAGACUCCCUGAGAAACUUGAUGGACACAGGAGCGACGUGGCUUCAUUUCUGCUGGCCAGACUUGCAGCUCCAGAGUCUAAAUCCCCCCCCCGCCCAAAGCCCACCCUUCGGGUUGAAGACAAUUACCUCUCUGGUGACUUUCCCGUUGUUGUCAAAGUCGUAGAGGGUGAACGUCCACUCCUGUCGGUUAUCCUCCUCCAUGGAUACAGCGCACUCCAGCUCCUGAAACAGCACAGGCACAUCAAUAUGUGUGUGUGUCAGUUUUCCUCCUAGUGGAAGUUAAUCGAGGUCCCGUUUAGUUUGGACAAAGUGGCAAACUCACUUCAAACUGGAGCUGCUUGUGCGUCCCCACGGGGGAUUGGCCGUCCCGCUCCUGCAUCAUCUUGUUCUCCAAGCAGCAGCUGUCUGUCUUCUCCGGGGGCAGAGCCACUGCAGACACACAGACACAUGACAAGAGUCAGCGUCAAAUGGUGGGUGCGGCAAAACCUGAUGAUAGGUUGCCGCUUCUAAGUGCCUGCAUCCUAGCGAAGAAGCUGCAAUUACAAGAAAAGUGACACACUGCCUCUCCUCCCAUCCCACUUUGAAGUCCUCAUUCUAAGACCUUCUGGAAGCGGAUCAGUCCAGCCCGUGGAAUAAAAACAGAAUCACUAAUUAAUUAAGCAGAGUCAAAUCAGAAACACCGUUUGUUUGUGCGCCAGCCGUGGAAACAGACACAACACGAGGGCUCACUUUCUUCCCGCGCCAUCCGAAAGCGGAUCAAAGCCGAGCUGUCUGAUCAUCCCCGUCGCGUCGGGAGGAGGCCGGAAAUGAAAGGAGACAUCCCGGGGAACUUUUUUUUUUUUUUUCUGGAGAUUGAGAGAGGCGGGACUCCCGCUGUUUGAUCGUGCGCAUGAGGGGCAAAUCUGUUCAGUGGCAGGCUCAAUAUGGCGACGAGAUAGCUAAUGAAACGCCGGGAGGAGAAACAGUAAUGUGGGACCACUGAAUCCCCCCCCCUUUAAAGUGCAUACGCCAGGAAGCCGCCGCGGGGUUGGCUGUGAGGGGCAUGGUGAGGGCAAUCCGACGCUCGCAGGUUGGGAACGCUGCCACACUCGCGCUCAUCCAGCUUGGCUACUGUAUUACACAUAUCUGCUGCCUCCUGUCCCGCUUCCAAGGCUAAAAUGCAUGGGGAUGAGGAGGAUGACUCUGGUUUUGUGGGCAGGAGAAGUCACAUUUUCUUCAUCUGCCGAGCAAGGGAGUUAAUUCUGCUCAUUUUUUAAAAUCUUUUUCUUAGCGGCCGAGUGUAAUUGCUAGCCAGUGUACAUGCAAACAACAAAGCAUCUAUCUUCUCGGGUUACAGCUCAACUGGCUUUAAACGAGACCGUUUAUGCAUUUUUAUGAAAAUAAAAAACAGUUUCCAGGUGUCUUAAUACCAUUCUAUUAAAUACCCAGGGAUCUCGUUUGAUGUGCGUCCCGCGUCUGAGACGCACAAAAAUUAGCAGGGAAGCAUGAAUCAUAUUUAAUCUGCGUCUGUUGACACGUGGUUUAAGACCCCGCGCCUGUGUGUGUUUGUGUGUGUGUUGGUCCACACACAGCAAAUCAAAAGUAUGAAACCUGUCUUGGUGCUAGCCAAUCAGAGGCAGAGUAGGGCGGGUUAUCGUUCAUCUUGUCCAUACAAUCAACACAGGAUUUUUUCUGGACUCGAUAAAUUUUCAUUGUCGUCGUUAACACAUGCCGCGCCGCUCACGAUGCAGCAAGGCGCUGGCAGAACGGUGUUUGCUCUGUAGAUGCACACAACUGGGACACUUAAGGGAAAGUUUACUGUUACAUUCGCUACCCUGCGAGCUCAGGAGCUAGCGAGUUAAGACCUGUAGCUAAAAAGCUCACUCUACCACGGCGACAUCGUUAAAACGUCAGCGCUCGGAGUUGUGUGUGUGUUUCCAACAUUAUACACACAGACACGCACACAGAAAAGUUAACUGUUUAUUUACCAAAGCCACAACGGCACACGGUAUCAAUAUUCAGCAGUAGCUGACUUCAGCGAACUAAUUUUCAGCGUCAUUUGAUUGACAGGUUGAGAUCUCACAUCACAGUCCAGCUGCUCGAGGGCAGGCCUUAUUUUACAUUUUAUUCAUCCUUUAUUUAACCAGGUAAAAGCUUCUUGAGAGAUAAAAUCUCCUUUUCAAAGGCCAAGAGGCAUCAUAAAUUAUACAGUAGAUAAUAUGACAACAUUAAUACAAUAAAUAAAAAUAAAGACCAAAAAAUAAAAGUGAAGGCACGGUGACUGACUGGUCAGCACAGCCGCAUCACAGUGCUGAGGACCCGGGUUCAAAUUUGGCCUUGCCUGUGCGGAGUUUGCAUGUUCUCCCCGUGCCUGCGUUGGUUUUCUCUGGUUUCCUCCCACAUCCUAAAAGGAUGCAUGGUAGGUUGAUUGAACACUUUAAAUUGCCUGUAGGUGUGAAUGGUUGCUUGUCUAUGUGUGCCCUGCCAUUGGCUAGCAGCCAGUUCAGGGUGUAACCCGCCCCCUGCCCACAGUCAGCUGGUAUAGGCUGCAGCACUCCCGCGACCCUAGUGAGGAUAAGCAAUGCAGAAAAUGGAUGGAUGGAUGGAAAAUAACAGUUAUAUUAAAAUGUAUGACAUUUGAUUUAAAAACAGUGACAAAGCCCAUGUGCUUUGGAGUACAUACAUGGUGUUAUUUAUUCAUUCAAAUUUGGCGGUUUUUGGGCCUUUUUAGUGUGUUAAUGAUUUAAUAUACCUAUACCUGAUAUAAUAUACCUAUAUCUCUGUGCCAAAUGUUUAAUAUUUGUUUAAGUGCAAUUUUUGCAAAUAGAGCCCGAGUCUGAUUUUUAAAAUAUUUUUUAUUAAUCUAAGACAUUUUAUUUAUCUUCUUCAGAAUUGAAAGUUAAUUGUUCUUAAAAAGGAUGUACCUGAAUUAUUAUGCUCUAUAAUAUUAUUAUAUGAGUGGCAUAAAAACAAACAAAACAAAAAAUCAACAAUAGUAUCAUUUAUGGUGACAUUUUGGGCCAAAUAUAUCAUCUUAAAAAAAUUGCUAAGCAUUCCUAAAAUGCUAUCGUGGCAGGCUAAAACAUAAUACACUGAGAGAGAGCAAGGGCAACGGAUAACACAAAUAUAUUGUGCAAAUAUAUGCAAUAUAGCAGGACCACGAAGCAAAAAAAGUCAUAUAGCAAAGGAUUACUGUAUGUGUUCUCCGUGAUGAUAAGUUCCAGGGACUGAUUGUUCCAAGGCUGGGACUCAUUGUUUCAAGACGUGCAUUCUGGGACUUGCAUAGUCUCAAGUGUAA